GUGUGUUCCAGGUAAAUCCGGUUCACUUUAACACUGAGGCGUGACGACGAGGCACUACGGUGCUGAAGCAACAAAUGCCCUGCUUCCAGGAAAAGCCUCUAAGCAUCAGGUAACAUCAAAUCGUACCCCAAACCGACACAGGUGGUCAGGUAGAGAAUACCAAGGCGCUUGAGAGAACUCGGGUGAAGGAACUAGGCAAAAUGGUGCCGUAACUUCGGGAGAAGGCACGCUGACACGUAGGUGAAGUGAUUUACUCAUGGAGCUGAAGUCAGUCGAAGAUACCAGCUGGCUGCAACUGUUUAUUAAAAACACAGCACUGUGCAAACACGAAAGUGGACGUAUACGGUGUGACGCCUGCCCGGUGCCGGAAGGUUAAUUGAUGGGGUCAGCGCAAGCGAAGCUCCUGAUCGAAGCCCCGGUAAACGGCGGCCGUAACUAUAACGGUCCUAAGGUAGCGAAAUUCCUUGUCGGGUAAGUUCCGACCUGCACGAAUGGCGUAAUGAUGGCCAGGCUGUCUCCACCCGAGACUCAGUGAAAUUGAACUCGCUGUGAAGAUGCAGUGUACCCGCGGCAAGACGGAAAGACCCCGUGAACCUUUACUAUAGCUUGACACUGAACAUUGAGCCUUGAUGUGUAGGAUAGGUGGGAGGCUUUGAAGUGUGGACGCCAGUCUGCAUGGAGCCGACCUUGAAAUACCACCCUUUAAUGUUUGAUGUUCUAACGUGGACCCGUUACCCGGGUUGCGGACAGUGUCUGGUGGGUAGUUUGACUGGGGCGGUCUCCUCCUAAAGAGUAACGGAGGAGCACGAAGGUUGGCUAAUCCUGGUCGGACAUCAGGAGGUUAGUGCAAUGGCAUAAGCCAGCUUGACUGCGAGCGUGACGGCGCGAGCAGGUGCGAAAGCAGGUCAUAGUGAUCCGGUGGUUCUGAAUGGAAGGGCCAUCGCUCAACGGAUAAAAGGUACUCCGGGGAUAACAGGCUGAUACCGCCCAAGAGUUCAUAUCGACGGCGGUGUUUGGCACCUCGAUGUCGGCUCAUCACAUCCUGGGGCUGAAGUAGGUCCCAAGGGUAUGGCUGUUCGCCAUUUAAAGUGGUACGCGAGCUGGGUUUAGAACGUCGUGAGACAGUUCGGUCCCUAUCUGCCGUGGGCGCUGGAGAACUGAGGGGGGCUGCUCCUAGUACGAGAGGACCGGAGUGGACGCAUCACUGGUGUUCGGGUUGUCAUGCCAAUGGCACUGCCCGGUAGCUAAAUGCGGAAGAGAUAAGUGCUGAAAGCAUCUAAGCACGAAACUUGCCCCGAGAUGAGUUCUCCCUGAGACUUAGAGUCUCCUGAAGGAACGUUGAAGAC
rnacentral:rRNA from 1 species